rnacentral:rRNA from 1 species
GACGAACGCUGGCGGCGUGCCUAAUACAUGCGAGUAGAACGCACAGUUCAUAGUGUAGCUUGCUACACCAUAGACCGUGAGGUGCGAACGGGUUAGGAACGCGUAAGUUACGUGCCUGGUAGCGGGAGACAACUAGUGGAAAUGAUAGCUAAGAUCGCUUGAUAUUGAUUAUUGCAUGAUAAUUUUUGGAAAGUUGCUAUUGCAUCACUAACCGAUGGACCUGCGUUGUAUUAGCUAGUAGGUGAGGUAACGGCGCAUCGAGGCGAGGAGACGUAGCCGCGCUGCGAGGGUGAUCGGCCAAGCUGGGACUGAGACACGGCCCAGACACCUACGGGAGGCAGCAGUAGCGAAUCUUCGGCGAUGGACGAAAGUGUGACCGAGCAGCGCCGCGUGAGUGACGAAGGGUUUCGGGUCGUAAAGAUCUGUUGUGAGAGAGGAACGGAUGUGAGAGUGGACAGUUCACACAAUGACGGUACCUGGCGAAAAAGCGACGGCUAACUACGUG